UGGCGUGCUUGUCUUGAAUCUGAAAAAGUGAAUUCACGUAGUUAGGGAAUAAAAUCAUCAGAGAUCGGGGAAAAUUUGAUGUUGGACUAAAACUUUAUUUAAAAUUAAAACAAAAGUUUAACUGACCCAAACAGCGUAUCUUUUAUAAUUGUUUGAUAUUGGGACUAGGUUUUUAUAGCUACCUUGAGUUACUGUUAGGCAGCAGUAAUUGUCUUCUGACUUAGUGAAACUUACAGUUACACUUACAAGUUACAAAGUAUUCAAAAUGGAUGUUUUUUUAAUGGUACGGAGAAAGAAAAUUACAAUUUUCAUAGAUGCCAAGGAAACAACUCCUGUUCUGGAACUUAAAAGAAUGAUAGAAGGAAUCACAAAAAUUUCUCCUGAAAAUCAAAAAUUGUUUUAUGAAGAUCAGAUUAUGGAAGACAAAAACACUUUGGCAGACUAUGGACUAAAUACUUCAACAGCAAAAGCUCAAGCACCUGCUACAGUUGGUCUUGCAUGUAGAGAACCAGACACUGGGAAGUUUGAGCCACUAGACAUUACACCCCUAUCCAGUCCACCAGAGUUACCUGAUGUUAUGAAACCUCCUGAGACACAAGCUCAUGAACAGGCUGUGGCCUAAACAGUGUUUGUUCAGGUAGAAGAAGUAGAAAAAUGAUGUGGGAGUUACUUGUUACUGUGUCUUUGCUUUUUCUGCUCUAGAAAACAACAGAGAGACAUACACUGUACAUUGUGUUCCUUUGUGUUUCAUAGCUAACAGUGGCAUCCUAUUGGGCUUAAUAUUUGGAUAAAUAUAAUUAUUGCUUGAACAUGGUAAGGAAAAACUGAAAAAAAAAAAUAUAGAUCUGAUUGUCUUUUCUUAGUAUGGUAUAUAAUUUAUACAUUCUAAACCAUAGGUAUUUUGUGUUUUGCUGUAUUGUUUGUGAAUAAACUUCCCUCAAGUAUGUAGGAAAUUGUAAAUGUUUCCAGCCUACUUGUAACAAUACCUGUAGCAUAAAACACAAUUCAUGUUAUUGCAUAAAGUUACACAAUUUUGUAUGUUAACAUCUGUCAAAACACUGUAAUUUGUUAUUGGACAUAACUGUCAUUUUGGAUUAUUAUCAUUUUUAAAAGUUUAAUUAUUUUUUCUAAUUGCACUUGAAAAAUGUGAUGAAAUUGUGAAUAAAGAAAGGUGUUGAAACAAAAUGUUAUUUUAUGUGUUAACUCUCUUUCAUGUAAGACUCGCUAUAUGUGUAUUUUAAUCUAAUACAUAAAGCUAAGUUUGUGUUUGUUUGUUCGCACAUUUCAGCCAUCUUUUCCUUAUACUUUUCCACGUUUGUUGAUUAAUCAGCACCCAACUUGAUACAGGAUGACAUGAGAAAGUUCAUAUUGAUAGAAUUCUUGUAAACAGUACAUCUUUCUUUUGAGUGUUGGUACCUUUAUGUAUUUUAAUUGCGCUUUGUGUUUAUCACGGUAAAUAGAAGUACAAUUUUCUGUC